rnacentral:lncRNA from 1 species
GUUUAAGUCUCUUUUUCGAUUUUCUCCCCCUUUCAUUUGGACAAUCAUAUUAAGGCACUUGAAACCAUUAAUAUCCUCACAUGCACAAGAUUGAUUGAGAAUUUUUUUCUAGGCACCUUUUUACUAUUUUUUCUCUUUUUUGAUGAAUUUAGACACGUUGGUGUUUAUUGGUCCACUUUGGGAUGACAUUUGAGAAACAACCUCCAUUAGGCUAAAUAACCAGGUGAGGAUUACCCAACUUAGAAGUCCUAUUGUCU